CAUCUGUCAGCCAUUAGUUCACCAGGGGCUGGUAGUAGAGCGCUUGGAAAAGCUGGCAGAGCGUGUGGGACCAGGGGACAGCUUCACCUCCAGGUGCAGGGCACAGAGGAUGGGGGCAAGGGCAGCCACCUCCGCUCCACUCACACACACGGCACGCAAGGAGCCACGCUCACAACUCUGGAAGGGAAUCCUGACUGCAGGCUAAAGAUGAUCCAGUUCCCUGCACUAUGUCUUUGACAAUCCAAGUGGUAAGCCAGAGGGCCAAAGCAGGAUGAAACCAGACUUGCCAAUAACCAACCAGCAAAGGUCCUUUUUUCGCAGGGGAGAGAAGUCAAAACAACACAUGCUGUCGACGUGGGAACAGCUGGUAAGAGUGAGCAGUGGAAUGCCGGAGGCCGGGCUGCAGAUCAAUCAUCUGCCAGGGUGAAAAUAACCACCCUGACCUGAUCACCACCACGCAAAAGAGAGCGACCUCCUCAACCCAUCUUACACUAAGACACCUUUCACGCAAAAUGUAUGGUAAACUCAUAACCACAUACAGUUAUGAAGACAUCUAGAUGUUCCUUGUAAAUAGAAUUAUAUCAAGGACACCUUUAACAUGCUUUACAUAUCUUUUAAGGAGA